AGAGUUUGAUCAUGGCUCAGAUUGAACGCUGGCGGCAUGCCUUACACAUGCAAGUCGAACGGCAGCGCGGGGCAACCUGGCGGCGAGUGGCGAACGGGUGAGUAAUAUAUCGGAACGUACCCUGGAGUGGGGGAUAACGUAGCGAAAGUUACGCUAAUACCGCAUACGAUCUAAGGAUGAAAGUGGGGGAUUCGCAAGAACCUCAUGCUCCUGGAGCGGCCGAUAUCUGAUUAGCUAGUUGGUGGGGUAAAGGCCUACCAAGGCAUCGAUCAGUAGCUGGUCUGAGAGGACGACCAGCCACACUGGAACUGAGACACGGUCCAGACUCCUACGGGAGGCAGCAGUGGGGAAUUUUGGACAAUGGGCGCAAGCCUGAUCCAGCAAUGCCGCGUGAGUGAAGAAGGCCUUCGGGUUGUAAAGCUCUUUUGUCAGGGAAGAAACGGUGAGGGCUAAUAUCCCUUGCUAAUGACGGUACCUGAAGAAUAAGCACCGGCUAACUACGUGCCAGCAGCCGCGGUAAUACGUAGGGUGCAAGCGUUAAUCGGAAUUACUGGGCGUAAAGCGUGCGCAGGCGGUUUUGUAAGUCUGUCGUGAAAUCCCCGGGCUCAACCUGGGAAUUGCGAUGGAGACUGCAAGGCUAGAAUCUGGCAGAGGGGGGUAGAAUUCCACGUAGCAGUGAAAUGCGUAGAGAUGUGGAGGAACACCGAUGGCGAAGGCAGCCCCCUGGGUCAAGAUUGACGCUCAUGCACGAAAGCGUGGGGAGCAAACAGGAUUAGAUACCCUAGUAGUCC
rnacentral:rRNA from 1 species